rnacentral:rRNA from 1 species
UACGGGAGGCAGCAGUGGGGAAUUUUGGACAAUGGGGGCAACCCUGAUCCAGCCAUACCGCGUGAGUGAAGAAGGCCUUCGGGUUGUAAAGCUCUUUUGGCCGGGAAGAAAUAGCGUCGGCUAAUACCCUGUGUGGAUGACGGUACCCGAAGAAGAAGCACCGGCUAAAUACGUGCCAGCACCCGCGGUAAUACGUAGGGUGCGAGCGUUUAUCUGAAUUACUGGGCGUAAAGCGUGCGCAGGGGGCUCUAUAAGACAGAUGUGAAAUCCCCGGGCUUAACCCGGGAAAUGCGUUUUUGACUGUACAGCUCGAGUGCGGCAGAGGGGGGUGGAAUUCCCCGUGUAGCACUGAAAUGCGUAGAGAUGUGGAGGAACACCGAUGGCGAAGGCAGCCCCCCGGGUCGACACUGACGCUCAUGCACGAAAGCGUGGGGAGCAAACAGGAUUAGAUACCCCGGUAGUCCCCGCCCUAAACGAUGCGAACUAGGUGUUGGGGAAGGAGACUUCCUCAGUACCGUAGCUAACGCGUGAAGU